GGUUCGCCUCACUGAUCUUACGGCCAGAAGGGACCGUUAUGACAAUCUGUUCUGGCUUCCUGCGUAACACAGGAAUCUCAGCCAGUGAUCUCUGCCUCCAGCCCAACUCCUUGUGGUUGAGCACGAGCGUGUCUUUUAGAAAGAGGCGUCCAAUCUUGAUGUAAAGUCACCAAGCGAUGGAAGAAACCACCGUGUCCCUCACUAGGUUUUUCCAAUGCUUAGUUUCCCUCCACGCGCUGGAGAAGUUCCCACGCCCCAUGGUAAAUUGUCUCAAUGGUUAUUCCCCUCGCUGUUAAAAAUGUGCAUCUUAUUUGCUGCCAGCCACUGCAUCUUAGUUGGCUUUUGUCUGCUGGGUUAAAGAGCAGAGCGGGGACGCUAAUGUACACAGCUGAUUGUCUGGGGAAAUGAUCAGUACCACGGUAUCUUACAGAGAUGCUAAAAUCUGGGCGGGCAGUUAACUGAUGGGGCUCCUAUGCACUGGAGGGCUGCAAAACAUGAACCUGGUUCCACAGCAGAUCGUAGCCAUAAGAAGCGAAUGAUUAUUCGAGUGUCUCGUUUCACUGAAGGAUUCGAAGUAACUGCACCACAGCUCACCAGAGCUGGAUACUGGAUAAACUCCCCACCCACUCAGCUUUUGCUUGGAUCCUUCCCUUUGCAAGACAUAGACGUCUCAUCCUGAAAGAGCCUCCCCUGCCUGAGAAGGAGACACGCAUGAAAUGUUAACAUGAAGUUCAGCAAAGGAACUUUAUUUUUUUCAGUGUAUUUGGAGAAUCACCAGAGGCAAUCUCCGGACUUUGCUACUGCAGAAGGCGCUCAAAAUUCCAGUUGCACCGACAACCUGCCGCAAACCCCAAACCACAGUUCACUGCCAUGAUCGGAACUGACCGCUCCUCUUGGAACGUAAGAGGGGCAGCUUGCGGAGACCACAGAUCUCUGGAUGCGCUGCUCCAUCUAGAUCCAACAUGCGGCCUGUGGAGACAACUCCACCUGCUCUGCAGUGCUCCUGAUCCGAGUGGUCACACUUUGCAACAUCCUCUGCUCAGAUCAAUAUGAAACAUCACAUUCCGGGAUCUGUUUUCUGAGCAGGCUACUCAUAGUUAACUGUUUGUAUGACAGUCACCCCUAGAGGCUGAGAGCACGGUGCCAUUGUGUGAGACACCGUACGUACACAUAGUGACAGAGUCCCUUCCUCAGAGCGCACAACCUAAAUAGACAAGGUCUGAGGGGGGAAACUGAGCAGAGGAACAGAGAGAUGAAGUGUUCACUGGGUCAGGGGUUCUCAACCUUUUUCUUUCUGUGGUCCCCCCAACAUGCUAUAAAAACUCCACGGCCCACCUGUGCCACAACAACUGUUUUUCUGCAUAUAAAAGUCAAGACCGGCAUUAGGGGGUAAUAAGCAGGGUAAUUGCCCACGGCCUCAUGCGGCCCUGCAAAGCUGAGUUGCUCAGACUUCAUCUUCAGCCCCAAGUGGCGGGGCUCAGGGCCCCAGUCUUCAGCCCCUUCGGCUUUCUGCCCUGGGCCCCAUUAACUCUAAUGCCAGCCCUGUUUGGCAGACCCCCCUGAAACCUGAUCGCGGCCCCCCAGGGGGCCCCAGACCCCUGGUUGAGAACCAUUGCACUAGGUCACACGACAGUAACACAGCUUAAAAGAGAAUCCAGGUCUCCUGACUCCCAGCCCAG
rnacentral:lncRNA from 1 species